rnacentral:rRNA from 1 species
GACGAACGCUGGCGGCGUGCUUAACACAUGCAAGUCGAGCGGAAAGGCCACUUCGGUGGUACUCGAGCGGCGAACGGGUGAGUAACACGUGAGUAAUCUGCCCCUGGCUUUGGGAUAGCCACCGGAAACGGUGAUUAAUACCGGAUACGACCACUUCUCGCAUGGGAUGGGGGUGGAAAGUUUUUCGGCCAGGGAUGUGCUCGCGGCCUAUCAGCUUGAUGGUGAGGUAAUGGCUCACCAUGGCUUCGACGGGUAGCCGGCCUGAGAGGGUGACCGGUCACACUGGGACUGAGACACGGCCCAGACUCCUACGGGAGGCAGCAGUGGGGAAUAUUGGACAAUGGGCGGAAGCCUGAUCCAGCAACGCCGCGUGAGGGAUGACGGCCUUCGGGUUGUAAACCUCUUUCAGCAGGGACGAAGCGCAAGUGACGGUACCUGCAGAAGAAGCACCGGCCAACUACGUGCCAGCCGCCGCAGUAAUAC